rnacentral:lncRNA from 1 species
AUGCAGAAUUUGUUACCCUUACUACAUGAAAACUCAUUUAAACACACAUCUAACUCCACCAGUACGAGAUUCUCUGUGGAUGUGCUUUACAUACUUAUUAUUAACAAUUUGUGCCUAGGACUGCUAAGGGAAAAAUUGGUGGGUGGAUGUGUGUACGGACAUCUGUUUGUGCAUGCGUAUACACCCACACACGUAUAUUGGGAAAACCCAAAAUUUGUUUCAAGUUUAAUUUUUUCAGCUUCCCCAGCAGAAGUAAGAGGAUUCAUGUUUGUAACGUCAGCUUAUCCUAAGCAAACAUUCAAGCAAGCUACACUGAAAUUUGGGCAGUUUUUUUUUUUUUUUAAAGAAAAAAAAAACUUUUCAAACCUUUGAAUCUCUUAAUUUGACAGCAAUUUGUAAAUGUUAACUAAGUGAAACCUUGGCAAGCACUACGGCAAUAAGUUAUCAUUAAUUAUUGAAACAUGAUAACUGCUUUAGAGCUUAUGGUUCUGGCAGCAAAAUUUAAUGCUGUUUCUUUUAAUAAUAGUUAAGCCAUAUCAUCUAAGGUUUCUGGCUUGUUUGAGAUGUGAAUUUGUUUUAUAGAUUAUAAAUAUACCUAUAUAGUGUAUGUAUAAAGCAGAAUGCCUGUCCUUACUGAUUAUUUUUUGUACCAUAUUGUAAAUUAUAUUAUUUAUUCUUUACCAAUUUUGGAAAAAGGUGUUUUGGUUAUUUAAUAUAAUAUACAAAAGCUGUUAAACUUCCUCUGUUUAAAUUUCCAAUUCAACUUGUAAAGCUGUUUUUAUUCUUGUGCAUAAAUACAUACUAAUACUUGGUCUAACUCAUGUCCAGUGUGUUAUUUGCAGUUCAUAUCUUAUCAAAUCUUCCAUUUAAUUUCCAUUUACGUAGUAAUGACCCCAUUAGAAUCCUGGGGAUAAAAGUGUGUCCAUAAUGCUGAGUUUUUCAAGGUGAAAUUCUGGUUCCAUUGAACUCAAUGCCAUAAUUUCCAUCAUCUCCCAUCCCCAAAUUGUCAUGAUUUUCACUGGGGUGAGAGAAAGUUUUGAUUUUGGGGUUGUGUAGUUCUUUUUUAUGCCUUCCAGCUUCCGUUCCCCAUAGCAUCCCCUAAC